AUUGAACGCUGGCGGCAGGCCUAACACAUGCAAGUCGAACGAGUGGCGGACGGGUGAGUAAUGUCUGGGACACUGCCUGAUGGAGGGGGAUAACUUCUGGAAACGGUAGCUAAUACCGCAUACCAUGAGAUGUGCCCAGAUGGUAUUAGCUAGUAGGUGGGGUAAUGGCUCACCUAGGCGACGAUCCCUAGCUGGUCUGAGAGGGUGACCAGCCACACUGGAACUGAGACACGGUCCAGACUCCUACGGGAGGCAGCAGUUGGGAAUAUUGCACAAUGGGCGCAAGCCUGAUGCAGCCAUGCCGCGUGUGUGAAGAAGGCCUUCGGGUUGUAAAGCACUUUCAGCGAGGAGGCGUUACUCUCAGAAGAAGCACCGGCUAACUCCGUGCCAGCAGCCGCGGUAAUAC
rnacentral:rRNA from 1 species